rnacentral:rRNA from 1 species
AUUGAACGCUGGCGGCAGGCCUAACACAUGCAAGUCGAGCGAGCGGCGCACGGGUGAGUAAUGUCUGGGAAACUGCCUGAUGGAGGGGGAUAACUCCUGGAAACGGUAUCUAAUACCGCACACCAUCAGAUGUGCCCAGAUGGGAUUAGCUCGUAGGUGGGGUAAUGGCUCACCUAGGCGACGAUCCCUAGCUGGUCUGAGAGGAGGACAAGCCACACUGGAACUGAGACACGGUCCAGACUCCGCAGGGAGGCAGCAGUGGGGAAUAUUGAACAAUGGGCGCAAGCCUGAUGCAUCCAUGCCGGGUGUGUGAAGAAGGCCUUCGGGUUGUAAAGCACUUUCAGCGGGGAGGCGUUACCCGCAGAAGAAGCACCGGCUAACUCCGUGCCAGCAGCCGCGGUAAUAC